GUUUAUGUAGUUUAAAAAAAACAUUACACUUUCAUUGUAAAAAUAAAAGAUAUUUCAUAAAUU
rnacentral:tRNA from 1 species